CAUAGAUAUUUUCACAUCAUAUCACAGUUACUGAAGAUAUCUUAAAAUGUCCUUUAUGCUUAUCAUCACUUCAAAAUGACAGAGGUUAUUAAACCCAUCACUGUAUUUUGUCAUUUAACACACGAAUAAAGAAGCACAUUUAACACAUGAAUAAAGAAGAAUAAAUUUAUUUCCUCUUAAAUUUUGAUAGAUGUAUUUCAAAAGAACUGUUCUCCUUGCUCAUACACUUUAUUGUAUGUAUUGAAGCAUGACUAAAUGGGUCCGUGGUCCCAAAGGAGGAAAAAUCCUUCCCCUGGUCUCAGGCAGUGGAAUGGACCAUUCCAGAGAAAAUGCAUUAGACCACUAAAACUCAAAGACGACGCAAUCAAUUCUGAUACAGGUAAGUUCUUUUUAUUUUUUUAAAUGUUUAUUUUUGAGAGAUAGAGAUUGCAGGGAGGGGCAGAGACAGAGGGAGACAGAGAAUCCCAAGCAGCCUCUGCGCUGUCAGCACAGAGCCUGAUGCCGGGACUAGAACUGUGAGAUCAUGACUGGAGCCGAAAUCGAGUUGGACACUUAACCAACUUAGCCACCCACGCACCCCAUAAGAUCUGAUACAUGGAUUAAAAUGUGCACCGAGAAAUCCUUGGAUGGGGGUCAUAAAAGGGAAGUGAACCCCUAAAAGGAAAAUAUCUUAAGCCUCUCAGCAAAAUGGAGGGGAUUUUUGUUUUCCAGAGCUCAACUCCAGCCCCAGGACACUCCACUGACUGACCCCAAAGGUUCAAGCCUUCACUGGCAGCAGCUUCUGGGUCACUUCCUUCUCACCUGCCUACCACAGCUGCUGUAACAGCUCCUAUCUCCACCCCAGUCUACUCUACUCUAGAAAGAGUUCUGACGAUACAGAGCUCCACUUCCAUCAUGGUGGAUGUGAGAGAAUUUUAGUCCCAGGAGCCUUUUGUUCUAAGGGGAAGGGCUGAUAAGUGAAACUUCUGGAAGCAGAUGUUACGUUAAAAAUAAAGGAAUAGAUACAAUUACA
rnacentral:lncRNA from 1 species